UACGAAGGGGGCUAGCGUUGUUCGGAAUUACUGGGCGUAAAGCGCACGUAGGCGGCCUCUUAAGUCAGGGGUGAAAUCCCGGGGCUCAACCUCGGAACUGCCUUUGAUACUGUGAGUCUCGAGACCGGAAGAGGUGAGUGGAAUUCCUAGUGUAGAGGUGAAAUUCGUAGAUAGGAGGAAGAACACCGGUGGCGAAGGCGGCUCACUGGUCCGGUUCUGACGCUGAGGUGCGAAAGCGUGGGGAGCAAACAGG
rnacentral:rRNA from 1 species